rnacentral:misc_RNA from 1 species
GAUGAAGAACGUAGCGAAAUGCGAUACGUAAUGUGAAUUGCAAAUUCAGUGAAUCAUCGAGUCUUUGAACGCACAUAGCGCCCCCUGGUAUUCCGGGGGGCAUGCCUGUCCGAGCGUCAUUGCUGCCCUCAAGCACGGCUUGUGUGUUGGGCCCCGUCCUCCGAUCCCGGGGGACGGGCCCGAAAGGCAGCGGCGGCACCGCGUCCGGUCCUCGAGCGUAUGGGGCUUUGUCACCCGCUCUGUAGGCCCGGCCGGCGCUUGCCGAUCAACCCAAAUUUUUAUCCAGGUUGACCUCGGAUCAGGUAGGGAUACCCGCUGAACUUAAGCAUAUCAAUAAGCGGAGGA